GCAUAUCAAUAAGCGGAGGAAAAGAAACUAACAAGGAUUCCCUUAGUAACGGCGAGUGAAGCGGGAAGAGCUCAAAUUUGAAAUCUUCAAGGUUCUACCUUGACGAAUUGUAGUUUAAAGAAGUGUUUUCUGUUAGAUGAGUAGCAAAAGUUCCUUGGAAUGGGACAUCAUAGAGGGUGAGAAUCCCGUAUUUGGUUAUUCAUUCUAGCUUUGUGAUACACUUUCAAAGAGUCGGAUUGUUUGGGAAUGCAGUCCAAAAUGGGUGGUAAAUUUCAUCUAAAGCUAAAUAUUGGCGAGAGACCGAUAGCGAACAAGUACCGUGAGGGAAAGAUGAAAAGAACUUUGAAAAGAGAGUUAAACAGUACGUGAAAUUGUCAAAAGGGAAGCGUUUGACACCAGUGUUGUUUUUCCGAAAAUCAAUUACGAAUGGCUUGAUUUUGUGUUGUAUUGACCUUAUCAGCUUUCUGCACUUUUUUCGAGUCUUUCUUAAUGCACUUUACGGUUAACAAGUCAACAUCAAUUUCUUUUGUUGUAAAAGAGUAUUCGGAAGGUGGCUUUCUUUUCGGAGAAAGUGUUUAUAGCCCUAUACUUCUACAAUCGGAGAGAUUGAGGUCUGCAGCGUAGAUCCUUCGGGGUUAGAUACACUUGUGCUAAGUUGUAGCUUUUCAUAGACAACUUGUUGACUAUGUUUAGUCAUGCGGCUUACUCGCUUAUGCUAUUUUACCUACGCUUAGGAUGUUGACAAAAUGGUUUUAAACGACCCGUCUUGAAACACGGACC
rnacentral:rRNA from 1 species